AAUAAUUCAUUUUAUGCUUUUGCUUAUGUUAACCACGCUUUAUUGCUCUUUAUUCAGUGUGUAAGAAUAACAGACAUGUUCUCUCAGUUCUUCAUCUCAGGGAGUAACGCACAUAACGGCAGUUCUUUAUCUCAGUGAAAAACACCAAGGGAGCGACAUAACGGCCGUCCGUGCGGGCCACUGCUGCGCGGGCAGUGGCGGGAAAACACCAAGAAGACCAGAAUACGUGGAAACACCAAGAAGACCAGAAUACGUGGAAACACCAAGAAGACCGGGCUCCAGAAUGCGUGGACCAAUCCGCGUUAGUCUAGGCUCAUGAAUAAACAAUGAUCUGUUGUAAUAUAUUCUGUCUGUCCACCUGAGGGUGAAGAGUCUGUCCAGUGGCGGUGCAGCUUGUCUAGACUGUUUGUUAGGGAACCUCAGGAACAGACGUCUGUAUUAGAUGACCUGUUAGGGAAAUAAAUCUGCGUGACUCCAAGCUACUGAAUCCUGGUCAUCACUCUACUGGUAUGUGUUAUUAGAAUGGUAGUGUAGCAUCGUUGGAAUUGGCUUCCUCCUCCAGGUCUUGAACACGCUAGAGAAAAUGGUCCGGUGGAAUAAAAGGACCAGUUUCUACAAAUGGUGACCCCGAGACGUGCUUGAAGGGGGGAGUGGAGACCAACGCGGACGACGGCGAAAGGUCCGAUCCGGUAAACUUGAUCGCGGUAGACAUACCAGUGUCUUUUUUCCACGACCAUUCAACCUUCACCCCACGGCCGGCCACAUAGAAUAAGAGAGAUAAAAGAAUCUGUAACCAAGGAAGGGCCAAGAGCAAAUUGACAGCUCCCAUUCCUCAACAAAUGGCGUCACGAACAGGAUCUCUCUGGAAAAAGACGGACACCGGUUUCAGGACCUUCAGACUCAGGCAGUAACCAAGGAGCGCUCCACUAAUACCAGGUAAGACACACCUGUUCCUGUUAUUACGGGCAAAGUGUCAAGAUUCGGCUUAUGUCCAAUAAGGACCGAUCAAAUCAAACUGCUCUGAUCCUGAAUGUGUUGAACCAAGUAUAGUGGUUGGGUCUUGUAGGUGGCAAAUAACAAAUUGAUAAUGAGUUGUAUGAAAUAUGUGACAAUGGAAAAAUGAAGUACUGUACAGGAAAAAGGAAUUAAAGUAUAGGUGUGAGGUAUAUUCAAAACAAUAUACCGUCCAAACUUUGCCACUGAGUAGUAGAUAACUGAAUUGGCACAGUUAUUGAGUCACCAAGUAGGCGGUUUAAAUUAGGUAGAACCGCUGAGUUGUAGGUAUGGCUAGUAGCUGACGAGCAAAGACCAUACUGAGUUCGUAGGCAAUUAAAAAAUUAGUGGUUAAUUGCUGAGGCAGGUCCAGGUAACUUUUAUUAUUCUGGAUGCUGUUAAAUUGUAGGACUGACGACUGGAGAUCGCGGUCUGAGUAAACAGCUGUAUAUUUAGGGAAAGUUAGGGACAGCUCCAUGUUACAAUUGGAGAAUUACGUGACGUCACACAGUCCAUAAGGGAGUAUAUUGGACGGUGAGUAUGAUAAAAACAUGGUGAACUGUAAGAUGGACGGAACGCCUGAAGGCAAGAAAACAGUUGAAAUACCGUCUGGUGGUAAGUAGGAAAGAAAGGAAGACGAAUGCAUUGCGCAGAGAGAGAAAAGGGCGAAUGCACUGCGCAGAGGGGUAAGUAAAGCGAGAAAACAAGGUCUUAAGAAUAAAUUGUAAGAAUAAGACAAUAGUUUGAAAUAUAAAAAGAAAAAACUAAGUGUAUUCAAUUUGAGCUAUAAUAACAAUAUAAUAAUAAUAAUACAUUUUAUUUGUGGGGGUCUUUCUAUGAACUCAAGGACACCUUACAACAAGCAGUUAAAAUCACGAAUACAAUGUUAAGAUCAACAUCAAAUAAAAUAAGAAAAAAAAUACAACAA